GCUGGCAGCCAUAUCACCCUGCAACUCACAGCUGGCAGCCCACUGAAGCUCAGCAGGUUCGAGCCUGGACAAUACUUGGAUGGGAGACCUCCUGUGAAAAACUAAGGCUGCUGCUGUGA
rnacentral:rRNA from 1 species